rnacentral:lncRNA from 1 species
AAAGGAGCGCGUCAGUCAGAUGAUCGAAGAUUACGAGCCUUUUGAGGGGGAUGCCCUUUUGGAUGCCAAGUGCUUCAAGUGAAACAAUUGUAAUCAGUCAAGGCCAUGUUUGUGGCCGCAACCCUUUUUUGGUAGUGAGUUUGUCUCUUGUUUCAGACAUCCUGAAGUCUAGACAUUUAAUGAUUUGGACAAUAUAGUGUUAAAGUUUUUUUUUUUGCAUUUUCCCUUCUCGAAGAUACCUGCUAGUUUGCUGCUGGCAUUUUUUUUGCCUCUGAUUACUAGGGCACUUGAUUUAACCUCUCGCGCUCAGUUUUUGGGGUCAUUUCGGCUCCAUCUUCCUGAGUUCUGAUUGAUAGGGCAAAAGGUGUUUAAUUUACCGUUAUAUGAUUUGUGUAAGAUGGAUAGAUAUAUGAUUUCUAUGAUGAAUUUGAUGUGCUAACGAAUUUAGCAAAUUAAAAAUAUGGAUAAUUUAGCAUUAUAUAUGUAUAUCUUGUGAACCCCUGGUUGGAAUUAUGAGAAUAGCCCAAAUUAAAAAAGAAAAUUGGGCAAAUAAAAAACAUAAAAGUUUAAGUGGGGUCAAGUUUUAAUUAUGAAAAGCUCAGGGCAAGAGUAUAAUAAAAUUUCCUUCAAAGUUCUCGUAUUUAAGAGGUGAGAAACUUGAGUUUACAUAAUGAAAUAUUACAUUAUAGAUGAAAUAUACAAGAUAGUGAAAUAUUACAUUAUAGUUGUAAAGACAAGAUAGAGAUUUGACUUCGAAUGGAAAAUUGUUUAAAUUGAUGAUAUUGUGUUUCAAUUAUGUUUUUUUUAUCAUGAAAUAUGGUUGGGUAAUAACUAAAUUAUAAACUUUACAAAAAAAUAAAAAGAAAUUGAAACUGAAAUUACCAUUAAGAGAAACAGUAAUUUACUAUUAUUUGAUUUGGUCGACUAAUUGAUUGCGCCAAAGAUGAACUAAUCAAUCAUUAUAACUGAUAAUGAAUUAGCAUCAUUAUAAAAGAAAAUUGGGAUAUAAGUUUGUAAUAGUAUUUAUAUUGUAAUAAUGAUUAAGUGAAAGAAAUCAAUUUAGAUUAUAUCAUGUGAAUUGAACAUUGAAUAAAAAAUGAUAGGAUAUACAUGAUAUAUAAGAGGUCGUACGAGCUUUACACCAAUAAAGAGUUAUAUCUAGAGUUCAGACAACAAGUAAGUUCAUACCACCUCAAUACUCUAGUAUUAAGAUAAAUAAUUUCAAUUUCAUCGAAUAUGUCUUGUUUUAUCUGAGUAUUGUUGUGAAUGAAACUAGUUUUCUAAUAAUAGAACUAUUGUCUCGUAAUGGAUGAAGGAAUUAGUUUCUCGGCAAUAAAACUAGUGCCCGGUGAUAGGUGAAGAAAUCAGUUUUCCAAUAAUGAAACUACUACCUAAUAAUAAACAAAGGAACUGGCUUUCCAUUGUUGGGGCUAGACCUUAGUAAUGAAGCUAAACACCCAAAAAAGAGGAGAAAAUAUAAAGAGAAAAUUGAUAGAAAAUAAUCUAUUAAGAUCAAAUGUAGUAUUAUAAUUGUUAUAUUGAUUUGAUGAUUCAUUCAUUGAUAGAAAAUAAUCUAUUAAGAUCAAAUGUAGUAUUAUAAUUGUUAUAUUGAUUUGAUGAUUCAUUCAUGAUGCACUUAUUUUUUUUUUGUUAAUUAAUGAAGAUUAAAUCUUUAUUACAUGUUAAUCCUUUUGUAAUGAAAAAGAUUGUAUGUAAUUAAUGUAAAAAAUGUAAUCCUUGUACUAUUCUGUUAAGGAUUUACCAAUAAACUUUUAUGAUGUUAUGUUUCAUUUAGUGCUUUAGAAUUUAGAAUUUAAAUCAUAUAAAAUUAUAUUUUGCCUUGUAAUUAUUUAUUAAUCGUGGAAUUUAAAUAAUGAGACAUGAGAUAAUUCCAUGAUAUUUGGAUUGUAAUCAUAGUGAAAAAGUUAAAGAUAGCUUGAUAAAAUUCAAGGGUAAAGGAAAAUCUAGAUAAGAUUUGGAUAUGAUAAUGCAAUAAAAUCAAGAAAUUAAGUAUCAUGUUGAAAGUUCAUAGCUAAACAUAGAUUCAACAACAAAAAGUAUGAAUCUACCUACGCCGGUCGACCAUCUGGUUUUACAAAAUGAACCGCUUGAUUGGUUGGUUAAUUAAACAGUAGAUUUUGCAACUGUCUCAAUCAGUCGAUGAAACCGGUCGAUCAACCGGCAAGAAAAACAUUAGAUUACAGAAUAAACCAAUAGACCGGAAUUAGAUGCAGUGUUAAUUUAUGGGGUUGCUCUGCCGGAAAAUGUAAUCAAAGACCCAUCUGUGUUAAGCUUGAAGUCCAGUCAAACAUAGCAGUCUAACAAGUAACUGUGUAGCUAGAAAACUCGUUUCCAAAAAGUUCCCAGUCAAACAUGAACGUAAAGUCGCAACACAGCCCACUAGACAAGAGUACAGUCUUUUAGAAUUUUGCUAAAUAUUCAAGCUCUAUGACUCGAAGAAGUAGCCAGGAAUGUCCAUUGCAAGACUCGAUCGAGCAAGCUCGGAAACACAAUAUCCAAAACGAUCAUUAGCCGUUUAUGGGAGAUGCACAGACACUUCUCAUGUGUAUAGUGUCCUGGGGUUGGAAAGCAUGCCGACUGAAUUUUUUGGAAGCCAACUUGAGGUCGAAACUUGGCAAGCAUUGUUCGUGUUGAUAGAGACAGUACUAGUCAUGCUACGACUUUUUGUGCUCUUACCAAAAUGAGUUUACUUUGAAUCAACUCUAAGUGAAUUCAACCCUUGCGCAUGCAUAUAUGGUCGCAGAACCACCUUCCCACCCACCCACGAAGGUUCAAGCCUGUUUACAAAUCCCGACCAUAAUACCUUCAAUGAUAUAUAUAAGACAUGCUGUGAUCUCAAGAAUCAAGAAACUCUACUCCUCGUAUUUCAUUGUUUUCUUGAAUAAUCUUCUUCCUUGUCAGUGUGAUUCUUAGUUUGAUGGAGUGUGUGGAAAUCACUGUAGAGGAAGAGCAGAGAGAUGAAAGUACCCAGGAGUUGCUUCAACACCUCCCAACAGAAAUAGGUAUGGGAGGCAAUCUUCUCUAUCUAUACCAAGGAUUCUGGUGUCCACAGGUAUCAAUCAAGGGCAUGAUGUUGUUUCAACAACACUUCAAGGCACAAGAAACUGACCUCAUACUUGCCAGCAUUCCAAAAUCAGGUACAACUUGGUUAAAGGCCUUGAUUUAUACUAUAGUUAAUCGCUCCCAUCACUCUCUUGAAAAGAGCCCUUUGCUCACCAAUGGCCCUCAUGGGGUGGUGCCCUUUCUUGAGUUUGAUAUCAGCUCCAAAAACCAGUUUCUGGAACAAGACAAGCUUCCCGAGCCUAGGAUUUUCGGAACCCACUCACCUUACACGGCACUCCCGUGUUCGGUCAAAGAUUCUGCUGCUAAGAUUGUGUAUGUGUGUCGGAAUCCUCUGGACAUGUUCAUUUCCUAUUGGAAAUUCAGUGUCAAUAUCCCGAAGGAGAAUGAGAAACACCUUUCACUAGGAGACGCUUUUGACAAGUUCUGUCAGGGACUUCAUGGCUACGGUCCAUUUUGGGAUCAUUUAUUAGGGUAUUGGAAGGCAAGCUUGGAGAGACCUGAUAAGGUCUUGUUUCUGAAAUACGAGGACAUUAAAAAGAACAAUGUCCCUAGCAUCAAGAAGCUGGCUACCUUUCUGGGGCUUCCUUUCUCUGUGGAGGAAGAGAAGCAAGGUUUGAUAGAGGAAACAUCAAGGCUAUGCAGCGUUGAAAGCAUGAAAAACCAUGAAGCAACCAUGACAGGCACAGGCCCUCUUGGGAUCCCAGCUAGUGCCUUCCUCAGGAAAGGAAAGGUGGGAGAUUCACUGAAUUAUCUAACACCCUCAAUGGUGAGCCGUGUGGAGAAUCUGAUUCAAGAGAAGCUCCAAGAUUCUGGUCUCUGCUUCUGUCUGUCUAGCACUUUCCAAAAUAGUGCUUGACUUGAGUUCAGAUAUACAGCAUUAAUGUUAUUGCUGUAUUGAUCUAUAUUUAAUGAUUGAAAAAAUAAGAUAUCUAUAGAGAAUAAGUGAUGAAAGAAUUGAAAUGAGAGGAGAGAAAGUCAAAUCAACGAUUUCUUGUUUUAUUUUCUGGAUAUGCAUGUGGAAGGAACCUAUGGAGAGAAUGGAAUUAACUUUCCGUCACUCAAAGAACUUUCAUCUGUUUUUGCAUGGUUAUCAAGCCUAGCUAAAUUCAUGAUUACAUCAAUUCAAAACAGCAUAAUUUCUAAAAGAAUUAAAAGUAGAAAUGACUUCAUUUUAAUUUUUCUUAAAAAAAAAACAUGUUCUUUUCUGGGUUUUGAUUAGAUCAUGGCUAGAUCUAUUAGGUUGACCAAAUCAACUCUUCCAAUUUAUUUUGAUAUAAAAUCCCAUUCGGAUCAAAUCUCAGGUUCAUAAGUCACUAAGCUAAUCGAUUAGGUCAGGUUUUAUAAUUAUAUAUUUUUAUAGUAAGCUAUACUUUUACUUAAAUUCAUAAUUUUGAAAUUUGAUCUUUUAUAGAUUAGAACUAGAUAGGUGGCUCUUACUUUAUUGUGGGCGGGCUGGUUUUUCUAUAAUAUUAAAAAAUGAUUCUCAAGCGUUGUAAGCGUGUUUAUAAGAAGGGAAAAAAAUUAAUGUUCAUUCAAUUAUAUGAUAUAUUAAACAAUAACAAUAAACAAACUGAAUCUUAAAAGAAAACAUGGUAUAAUGAUAACCAAAAGAAAAGGAACCUUUCUUCAUGGGGAAAAAAUCACAUAGCCGAAUUCCAAGAUAACCCUUAAAGGAAAAAAUAAGAAAUGAUAAAAUAAAGUGCAGUCAACCCGAGUUGGCAUGCUAAACUCAUAACCCUGGUCACGAGGUCUCUCUAGUCUCAAAGAAAACAAAUUGAAAAAAAUAAUGAAAAGAAACCUAAAAAAAAUAAAACAUUUGCAAAACUGGGUAAAGUAGCUAAAGCUCGCGAGCUGGAUCAUGCGAUUGAGUUAACCUAAUAGAAGGCAAAACAAGAAAAAUGAUGAAACUUAAUUUUAAAUUGAACCCAAUUUUAAAGGACAAAGUCGAAAAAAAUUUAAAAGAAACUCCAAAAAAAUAGUUGGGUUAAUCAGCUAAACCUGUUGUCCGGAUCAUGAGAUCAGGAUAACUUGAUUGAAAGAAAACCAAAGAAAAGCAUGAGGUUCAUUUUUCAAAAAAAUCAACGUCGAAGGAUGAAAUUGAAAAAGAAAUAAAUGAAAAAGAUGAUGCCGAUCCAAGUUAACUUUUUAAACACGUGACUUAAGUCACUAAACCAGAAGCAUCCCAUUUGAAAAAUCAUGAAGUCUAAUUUUUAAUAAAUAAAAUAUAGAAGGUUAACAUAUCUUAAUUUUAAAAAGAACUCAGUUUUGAAGAAUGAAAUUAAAAAAAUAAUAUAAAAAGAGAUUCUAAAGAAAUUGUCGGGUUAACUGGCUAAACUUAUUGACCAGGUAAUGAGACUAGAAUAACGUGAUUGAAAGAAAAUCAAAGAAGAUCAUGAAGCCCAUGUUUCAAAAUAAACAACUUCAAAGGAUAAAUUGAAAAAAAAAAAUAAGUGAAAAAAAUGAUGGCAUUCCGUGUUGACUUUUCAAACUUGUGACCCAACUCACUAAACUGGAAGCACCCCAUUUAAAAAAAUCAUAAAGCCUAAUUUGUAAUAAAUCAAAUGUUAAAGGAUGAGAAAGCUUAAUUUUAAAAAGAACCCAAUUUUUAAGGACAAAAUAAAAAUAUAUAUAUAAAAAAAUGACUCCAAAAAAAUGAUUAGUUUAACCAGCCAAACGUAAUGCUUAGUUCAUAAAAUCUGAAUAACCUGAUUGAAAGAAAACUAAAGAAAAUUAUGAAGCUUAUUUUUCAAAAUAAAUAACGUUGAAUGAUGAAAUUAAAAAUUAAAUACAAAAACUCUAUGUUAACUUUUCAAACUCGUAACCCAAGUCGCUAAAUCAGAAGCAACAAUUGAAAAAUCAUAAAGUCUAAUUCUCAAUAAAUCAGACAUCAAAAGAUGAUAUUUUAAAACAAAAAUUAUAAAAAAUAUCAAAAACAAAAUAACAAUUAAGAUAAUAAAGAUCAAAUGUGAAAUAAAAAACAAAUGAGAUGACAACUUAAAAUUUUGAAUUGAAGGGUAAAAUAAAAAAAAAAUCCAAUUCAUAAAAGAAUUUUAAAAAAAAAUCAAAACCAAAAUCAAAAGAAUGAUGACCAGAUUUGAAAAAAUAAAAAAUCACAAUUAUAAAUUUAAUGAUAAAAUUAAAAAUAAAUUGUGAUUUGAUAAAAGAGUUGAAAUACCGGUAAAUAAAAGAAUAAUUUUAAAAUUUUAAAUGAGAAACAUGGUUUCAAGGGGGAAAAAGAAAAGAAUAGAAAAAAAUAUUCCAUUUACAAUACAUCGUGGCCUAAACGACCACAAGUAUUGCCGUAUGUUAAAGAAGCCAUGGCGCUUCCAACGCGGUUGUAGAAAGCGAUAUUUAGGUGCUAGAUGACCCCAUAAGCCCAAAGGGCAAGGCCAUUCCCUCACGCCGCCUUUGUUUUAAAUGUAUUUAUACUUGUUAAACUACUAAAAUGCCCCUCGAUUAUAGCCAUUAUAACAAAAAAACAAUGGUAGAAUAAAGAGAUUUUGUUUUCAGGAAUAAUUUAGCCAUUGUAGCUAAAAUGCCCCUCGAUAAGCUAGCAAAGUGAUUUUUUUUUUCUUUUAAGGAGGUGAUACACUGAUUACAUUUAACCGGAACAAGUCCCUGGCCGCAGAUGCUAUCUCCGACCGAGCAAAGGGCCUUGUUAAUAAAUACCUAAAUAGGCGUGUUCUUAGUCCAGCCAAGAUUGCCCAUUCCCCUUAAUUAAGUAAGAUUCAAGAAAGAACGGAUAGGUCCAGCAGAGGGAACUUCACGCUGCCAUUGAUGUUUUUUUUUUAAUAAUUACUAAUAGCUAGACAGAGAGCUUCCUACUAGAAAUUUGGAUAGGACUAACAGCAGCUGGGAAACGAGAGAGAAGAUGCAGCUACCUUCUCAGGAUCUUGAUAUGGUAAAUACCUUUCAUAUAUUCUUGCAUGGUUUUAAACCCGGCAUGGUUUAUGAUCUAUGCGGGUGGGUUAGUCCAAGACGAUUCACUUGGUUCAUAUGAUUAACUCUCAACCUAGUUCAAUAUAAAACUCAAUUUGGAUAGGCCUCAGAUCAGUAAAUUAUCGGAUUAACUUGCUGGGCUGAGGAUAAAUUCUAUAACAAUGUAUUUUUGUGAUAAAUUAUAUUUUUGUUUACAUAUAUAAAUUAAAAAAAAGGUUCAAGAUUUGAUCUCUUAUAUAUUAGAAUAAGUUGUCGAUAUUAAUUUUGUCGAGGUCGCAACUUGGCAAGCAUGAUCGUGUUGAUAGAGACAGCACUAGUCAUGCUACAACUUUUUGUGCUCUUACCAAAAUGAGUUUACUUUGAAUCAACUCUAAUUGUGAAUUCAACCCUUGCGCAUGAUCGCAGAACCACCUUCCCACCCACGCACGAAGGUUCAAGCCUAUUUACAAAUCCCGACCAUAAUACCCUUCAAUGAUAUAUAUAAGACAUGCUGUGAUCUCAAGAAUCAAGAAAUUCUACUCCUCAUAUUUCAUUGUUUUCUUGAACAAUCUUCUUCCUUGUCAGUGUGAUUCUUAGUUUGAUGGAGUGUGUGCAAAUCACUGUAGAGGAAGAGCAGAGAGAUGAAUCCCAGGAGUUGCUUCAACACCUCCCAACAGAAAUAGGUAUGGGAGGCAAUCUUCUCUAUCUAUACCAAGGAUUCUGGUGUCCACAGGUAUCAAUCAAGGGCAUGAUGUUGUUUCAACAACACUUCAAGGCACAAGAAACUGACCUCAUACUUGCCAGCAUUCCAAAAUCAGGUACCACUUGGUUAAAGGCCUUGACUUAUACUAUAGUUAAUCGCUCCCAUCACUCACUUGAAAAGAGCCCUUUGCUCACCAAUGGCCCUCAUGGGGUGGUGCCCUUUCUUGAGUUUGAUAUCAGCUCCAGAAACCAGUUUCUGGAACAAGACAAGCUUCCCGAGCCUAGGAUUUUCGGAACCCACUCACCUUACACGGCACUCCCGUGUUCGGUCAAAGAUUCUGCUGCUAAGAUUGUGUAUGUGUGUCGGAAUCCUCUGGACAUGUUCAUUUCCUAUUGGAAAUUCAGUGUCAAUAUCCCGAAGGAGAAUGAGAAACACCUUUCACUAGGAGAUGCUUUUGACAAGUUUUGUCAGGGACUUCAUGGCUACGGUCCAUUUUGGGAUCAUUUAUUAGGGUAUUGGAAGGCAAGCUUGGAGAGACCUGAUAAGGUCUUGUUUCUGAAAUACGAGGACAUUAAAAAGAACAAUGUCCCCUACAUCAAGAAGCUAGCUAACUUUCUGGGGCUUCCUUUCUCUGUGGAGGAAGAGGAGCAAGGUUUGAUAGAGGAAACAUCGAGGCUAUGCAGCUUUGAAAGCAUGAAAAACUAUGAAGCAACCAUGACAGGCACAGGCCCUCUUGGGAUCCCAGCUAGUGCCUUCCUCAGGAAAGGACAGGUGGGAGAUUCACUGAAUUAUCUAACACCCUCAAUGGUGAGCCGUGUGGAGAAUCUGAUUCAAGAGAAGCUCCAAGAUUCUGGUCUCAGCUUCUGUCUGUCUAGCGCAUUCGAAAAUAGUUCUUGAGCUUUACUUUUUCUUUUUUAAUCUUUGAUGUAUUGAUCUGUAUUGAUGAUUGAAUCUAUACAGAAUAAGUGAUGAAAGAAAUGAGAUUUGAUGGGAGACAGGCAAAUUAAUGAUUACUGAUUUUAUUUCUUGGAUAUAUGCAUGUGGAAGGAACCCACAGGGAUAAUGAAAUUAGCUUUCCUUUGUUUCUCUCUCUUUUUUUCUUUUUUUUCCUUGCAUAGUUAUAAAAUCCGGCUAAAUUUAUUAUCGAAACUCCAAGUUAAUUAAACGGGUAAGUCCAAGGCAAUGCUUUUUCAAGAUUCAUCUUAAUUAACCGGUAGUAGAUUGGCUCACUUGGUUGAUAUGAUCAUCGAUAUAAAAUUCAAUCAAGGUAAACUCUAAACCGGCAAAUUUUAUCGAGUUAACUUGUUGAUCUAAGUAAUAGUUAACGAUGUAUUUUUGUGAUGAAUUACUAUAUUUUUCUUACAUGUAUAAAUUCAAGAAUGUUCCAAAUUUGGUUUGUUAUAUAUCAGAAUGAUCAGUUGUCAAUAUUUGACCGGUGCGAAUGGCUCAAGAUGAUAAACAUGAUCGAUGUCUGUAGACAGCCAUGGUUACCCUCCGAGAUGCAGAGCAUGAGGGGAAGAGGGUGAGUCGUUCGACCCAGCUAUCGAGGCUGCUAGGGAACACGAGGGACCUACCUAGUCACUUGGUGUGCAGCUAGCUAGGCUCGUUAGGUCACCUGGGAUUCGAGCUGUACAGCCGGGGUUACAGGUUGCCUCCUCCCCAAGUCUUAAAACGUAGAAACGGACAGACAUUUACACAGUACUCUAACCCUAGAAAUCAAUUUAUGGAAUUGCUGAAUGCUUUCCUUUGGAUCAGUCAUGCUGAUAAUGGUAUCUUGGUGAGAUGGGUCCACGCCACGAGUAACAACUUGUGUCCACUCACUUUGCUCUACUUUGGUGGCUUUGUAGGCAGGAUAAAGGGACUUGGGCUUUUGUUUUUUUAUCGGAUUUUUCAUUGAUAUCGUAUUAAAUGCCAAUGCCCCAGUUUACCAAUGGCGAACCUGUGGCCUAAGCCGGUCUAGAUAGAAGAAAAAAUUGACCUAGUCUAACUCGACAAAAAAACCUCGAGUUGAUAUGUGAUCUGGGUAAGAUUCUAUUAAAAAUCCAUUGAUUUUUUAAAAAAUAAUAAUAGUCAAAAGAUGCUAUUCUAGUCUCUAUUAUCCACGAACCUGAGUUUGAUUUUAAAACUAUGAAUGUGAGGAGCUAUUACUCAAAAUAAAUUUAAAAUGAAAUUGUAUACCUUCUUCAAAAUAUAUAGAAAAUACAAGGAGGAGACUGUUGCCAUCUUUUCUAUAUAUCCUGCUGAAUCAGUUCCGAACGAACGCGACCUUAGUAUUAGACUUGGAAACUGCAAAUUCCAUGAAGAGGGCAUUAACUGUGUCUUGUACAUUACUAGCUAGUUAGUUCGAGAGCUAGCUUUGGAUUAGUUUUGCGCGCAGGCUCUCUUUGUGGCGCCUUCUCGGAGCCUUUAUAUAUUAUUACAAUAUAUAUGAUCCUUAUUGUUAAUUAUCAGUAUCAACCAAAGCAUAUAUAGUUACGUAGAAGGUUUUUCAAAUCUGUGUCGAAGUUUUGGACUUGUUAUCUGCUUGAGUGUCUUGUAAGGCUGGUUAUGGAGGCUCUAGCUUGGUCGGACUGGAGGCAUGUUGCUGGUUUCCAUGGCUACUUUUUGGUGAAAUGGGUCCUUGAGUACAUGCACUGCUUGCAUGCUUGCUUUCAGCUCCUUCUUUCUUCUUCCCUGAAGUUCUGUGCUUCGGUUCCUUCUUCCACCAUUGAAGUGUCUCUUGCUUCAUAGAACCACCACUGCAACAACUUGAGCCGCUGCUAUCAUCAUCGUUAGUUUUUGAACCACCACCGCUCAUGCACACAAUAUACACGAAACGCUUCUGUUUAAUUACAAAACAAUAUCUAUUAGCUCGAAAUAUUUGUAUGCUCGCUGUAUAUGCCGCGGGGGGGCCAAUUUCUUUUUUCAAACAUAAAAAAAAAUGUCUAGCUCUCUGCAAAAAAAUUUGCAUUGUAAUUAAACUUGGAAAUAUUUUUUUAUUAUUUUUUUAAUAAACAUAUGAUUGUUAAAACAUUAUAUCAAAAUAGAAUGUCCAUAUAUUUGUAUAUUUGUGUGAUUAUAUAUAUUUCUGUUUUCUUUUAUAAAAAAUAUGAUUGUAAAAACAAGUUUUUUUUAAAAAAAAAUAAAUAUUAAGAUAGCAUGUCCAUAUAUUUAUGUGAUUGAAAGAUUAAAAAAUUAAAAGUGAUAGAAUCAUGUUCCAAAUUUAUUAAAAUAUUUUAAUAAUAAACAGCCAAUUUCAAUCAAAUUAUUUUUGUAAACAAUUUAUUAUAUAUUAGUAUUAUUAUUUUCAAAUCAAAUACAUAAUAACUGAAAAACAAUUUACUAGAUAUCAAAUAAAAUUUUAUAAUAAUAUUUUAAAACUGAAGAGCUGCGACUUGAAUUUAUUAUAAAAUGAAUGAAGUUUUUUUUAUAAAUACAAAUAAUAAAACAUCAUAGAAAACUCUAAUUUUUUAAACAUUUCAGGUAGGUGACUCGCUGAUCUAGAGUCAGACUCGAGCUUGGUUUUAUUUUGCACUGAAUUGACCAGAAACAACAUUUUUUUUAUUUAAAAAACAAAACCUCAUUAUUUUGCAAUGAGCUGAUAUAAUUGCUCAUUGCCUGUUUUGUAAGAAAAUAAAAUAAAAUGUAUAUAUAAAAAAGAAAAGUACUGUGGAAGAAAGGGAAGAGAGACACAAAUAAAUAAAUAAAUAAAUAAAUAUAUAAAUCAACUAUUCUAUACUAUAUUUUUUCUUAUAAUUAAAUAUAAACGAGACGGUUCCAUGUUAUUUGUGAUUUUUGUGGUAUUUAAAUAUAAAAAUAGAAUUAAAUAACUUUUAAGAAUUUAUAAUUAUUAUUUCUUAAUUAAUAUUUUCAUCAUUCUUAUUUUUUUAUUUUUUUUAGUUUAACGUGGGUGUCCGGGCCAGCUUGCACGCACCUCGACUAAUCCCGCGGGCCCUGAAGUUAACGACAAUGUAAACCUCCAGUGGCCAUCAUAUAAGCAACCAUAGGGCUCGAACCUGAGACCACAGAGGGAGCAAACCUCUUGGUUCCAAGCUCUUACCAUUGGACCACCACCUAGAUGGUUCAUUAUUUUUAUUUUUAUCCUAGCUAGAGGUGAGGAGAGAUUUACAUAUUAGUAUUUCUAUAUGUUAUAAUGUUAGAAUUAAUUGUAUUAAAAAAAAAAAAGAGUAUAUAUGAUCUCGUGGCUAUUUCUAUUUCUUUUUGUUUUUUUUUUUUUUUUGGAUUCUAAGCACAAAUUAAAUAUUUGAAAAAACCAAACAAGUUAUACAAUCUGAAAGAAUAAAAUUCAAGAUUUGUACACAAUAUGUUAUAACGUUAGAAUUAAUAACUGACAUUAAAAUUAUAUAUAUAUAUAUAUGCCAAUUCGAUCAAUUUAUAUCUGAUUUACUUAAAACUUCAUGCUUAUUUAAAGAUGUGAUAAACUAGAUUUUUAUGAAAAUUUAAUUUUUUUAUUAUAAAUUAAUUUUUUAGUAUUUUUUAAAUUAUUUUAAUAUGUUAUAUUAAAAUAAUUUUAAUAAAUAAAAAAUAUGUAUUAUUUUAAUAAAUUUCUAAAAACAACGCUAAUAUAAAAAAAAAUAAAAAAAAUCAUCUUAAUAUAUUUAUAAAAACAAUCGUUACCCCCACUUGGUAACACCCUUUCUUCUUUCAUUCAUUAGAAUUAUUAACAGUUAACACCCAAUUUUGCACACUUCGCUUUGAGGCAGGGAGGCAGAAAGAGAGAUAUGAGUGGAUUUUUAAGAAGAAGAAACAGAUCUUCUUUACUUUUUUCGUUGUUCUUCCUCUCUGUUCGUCUUCCCUUCUUUUCAGGUUUGUUUCUCUCGGAUCUCUCCUUCUCCCUCUCCGGCUCUCCCCUUUCCUUUUUUCUUUCUUCUUUACCAUAUUUACUCAAAUCUUUCGUCACCAAACGAAAAAUAAAUGCUUCUAUUUCUCUUAAUUGGGCACGAUUUAUUUCUCUUUUAAAAAUAAAUGGUAACGCUUCAUUUUACCAUAGAACCCGUUGAAAAGGGAAAAAAAUGAAGGCAAUGCAUGUAACUUUCAGGGAAUUCUAUCAGGUUUUCAGGUUUUGUUUUUUUUUUCAUGUUUGCAGGUAUAGCCGAUGACUCAUCUGGGGCAAAAAAUGGCACUAUGAAGUCUGAUAAGCAUGCUGCUUCUACAAACAAUACUGGGAUCCCCAAGAUUGCCAUCAUUUUUGUUUCCAUGGUGGCAAUAGGGUUUCUCGCUUUUUUCCUUUUCAAGUUUUGGCAAAAGAAGAAAAGAGAAGAGCAGUAUGCCCGUCUUUUGAAGUUGUUUGAAGAGGAUGAUGAGCUUGAAGUUGAACUUGGCCUUCGGGACUGACUCUUUUAUUGGAGAGAUUUUACUGCUUUUUACCUAGGUUUCGACUGAUUGCUUAAUGUGUAAAAUGUUGCUCAAAGUUCACAUCAAAACAUUAAGCUAUUUAGCUAGCACUUGCUUUGAAUGAUAGUAUUUGUCUUGAUGUUGGGUACCCAUCAACCUUAUGUUCUGACCUUGGUAAUGUUGUGCAGGUUUGAAAGAAAUUUGUUCGGAGGAAAUGUUGCUCCUCUGUUGCCAAGAUUGGGCUGUGGUGAUCCCUGUGUAGAGGUUAGAUGAUCUUCCAAUUGAAUUGCGUAAUAUUUGUCACUUUUCAUGAAUUUGAAUUCUUUGAUUACUUAGAGAAGAUUAGAUUCUUCUUUGAAUAAGUUCCGAGGGUCUCAUUCCCAGUUUGUAAAAAUGAUUCUUUGUUCUGAUGAACAUUGAAGUGUGUAAGAAUCAUGCAUUUUGAUGCAAAGCAUCUUGAAUGCAUAUAUUAAAUGUUACUAGAAAGGAUGAGUGGAUGUAAAUUCUUCGAUUCUAGCUGCUAUUUCGAGCUAUUUUUUCUCCCAUAAUGGAUGUGUGUGCCUGCUGCUCUCUGGCUCUAGACUUAUUUAGUUUCUCUUAUCAAAAACAAUGAAGAAAUAUGCUUCAAAUGUUACAGCCUUAGAUGCUUGCUGUGAAUGAAUAUAAACUGUGCCAGUGCUGUUCAUUUACAGGGAUAUGCUUCUAAUGAGCUUGAAACUUCAUAGAUUCUGAACUUUUUGUGAAUGAAUUUGUUUUUUACUUACUUCCUUUUCCUUUUCCAUUUCUUCAUGAUCUUGGAACUUCAUGGAUUCUGAAAAUUCUCAGGUGAGAAUGAAAAUGCUUGUUGGCUACAUGCAUUGUCGGUCCGGUAGGGAACUUGUUCUUUGUGGUUGAAAUUUCCCCUGUACACAUUUUGUGUCUCCCAUCAGCUGCUGAGCAAAUUUUUAUGAAUUUACUGGGCAGCAUUUGGUUGCUGAAAUUUUUUUACCUUUGAAGCUUUUUUCUGCUUUGCAUCCAACCCAAGAAAAUGACUUGGAUAUUCUUGGCCUUGUUUGCAACUAGGGACAGAUUGAAAAGGUGGGCAUAAAUUUUUUGGUAAACUGUAUUUUUUUUCCCUGUAGACUCAUCAAUUCCCCAUUUAUUUCCUUAUAAUUUAAAAAUUCUAGUUGUUAGAUUAAAAUUUUGAAAAAACUCCAUUCUUUUCCCUGACCAUUUUACUUAAGUUUUAAGCAGAGGGAAUGAAGGUGAGCAAGUCCAUAUUUUUUUGAAUGGUUUGAUUUUUAUUUUUAUUUUUAUUAGGUCUUGAGUAUUUUUUUGUUAAAUAUCAUCACAUAUUUCAAAAGAAUUAAGAGGAUACGAGAAAAUAAGAGAAAAGGAAUGGAAAAAAAGAGGAGCUUUUCCUUAGAUUUGUUAGAAUUUUCAUAUCUAGGGAUUAGAAUUCCACAUGUUUCACUAAAUAAUAAAUGUGGUCUGUUUUCUUUAAAAGUUUCUCAAUCGUGAACAAAAAGCUUACUCCAUUGUUAACCCUCGAAAGAGAAUUUCUCAACACAAAAAACCUUCCUCCCCCUAAAAUUGCGAUACACAUGGUUCAUUUUCUUAAAAAAAAAAAAAAAGACAGAAAAAUGCAAGCUGGUUGCAACCCCAGAGGGGGUGGUGUUAGUUGUGCUUGUAGUUGUCAGAUUUAUUCGAGAACUGACUUGAAAAAAGGAUCAAGUUACCUGGUCACAAGGUCAGUUUUCAAGCAUGUUAACUCAAUCAGAUUUGAAUCUAAUUAGGUUUGACCAAUAGUACAUUCCUUUGUCAAACAGCAAUGUUAGAAAAACUCAAUCUUGUAUGCGGUAUGGUAUUUAUAUAUGUUUGGUUAAAAUUAUAAUUGAAUAAAAAGUAGUUUAAUGUGUUUGAUUAAGAAUGUUUUUCAAAUUGAGGUUAUAAAAUAACUAAAAAAUAUAUAUAUUAAUAUUGAUGGUUUUUAAUUUAAAUAUUAUAGAUUUAACUACUGCUAUUACAUCAUGAAAUAAAUAAUACUUUAUAUAAAUUUAUCCAACAAGAACUACAGUUUCCAUAGUUUUUUUAGCGUGCAACAAAAUCAGGUCAAAUAUCAUCAGGAAUAAAAUUGAGAUUACGAUCAAAUUAUAUAAAUGCUACACCAUCAUGUGAUCUCUGUCAAAUUGAUGCAGUGUCAUUGAAUAAUGUUAAACACUAGUUUUUUUAAAUAAAAUACAAUUAAAAUUUUAAAAAAAAAUUGGUUUUUUUUAACUGGAUCAGACCCAGUCCAAUAUAUUUAGAUUUAGAUUAGACCUGUUUAACCAUUAACAAUGAAUUCAACCGAACUGUGCAAAGUAAACAGUGCAAAAUAAAUUAAAAACUCAUUUUGCACAGCUCAGCUAAAUAAUAAAUUAUAAUUUAAAAACUCACUAGCUAAAGUUAUAAUUCACUCUACGGAACGCGGGCAUUGAAGCAGUAAUAUUGAAGCAGUAAUUUUUCACUUUUGUUAAACCUGAAACAGCCGAAGUAUGGUGGGUUCCACCAAAAAAAAAUUGUUUUUUAACUUAACCAAGCAUCAAUUUUUAUGGCAUUCAAUCAAUUUUACCCGCAUCAAUAUUUAUGGCAUACAAUCGAGCACGUAAUUGUCAUCCUACAUGCAAGAAUAUCAUCAGCUAUUGCAGCAUCGGGUGAAGAAAUAGGUCAAUUUGGAAAAGUUAUUCCUUUUGCUAUCGAUGUUAAAGAACUCUUCAUUUUGCUGAGAAUUUAAUGACCUGUUAAGAUUUAAAAGCUUAUUCACCAAGAUACAAGGGUGGAAAGGAACAAGCACUUAGUUUGUCUCAGCAAGACAGGACACUGGUAAAAUAAAUAAAUAAAAUCCCUCAAGAUUGAUCAUAUUCUUCAAUCGAAGGAAGAAAAGGGCCUGUGAAAUCAAUGGAUUCCUCUGAUAAUACAUUCAACAAAGCAUAGCCAAAGAUNNNNNNNNNNNNNNNNNNNNNNNNNNNNNNNNNNNNNNNNNNNNNNNNNNNNNNNNNNNNNNNNNNNNNNNNNNNNNNNNNNNNNNNNNNNNNNNNNNNNCCCUUUCUUGCUCUCUUACUUUGAGUUUUCGCAUUUUUGCUUUUCUUCUACCCAUAUACCUAUUUCUUUCUGGGAAAAAGUGUCUGGGAAGAUUCACAAUGCGUUUUUUUUUUUUUCCUCAUGAAUUUUUUUUAUUGACCUCAGUUUUCGAAAAUGUCUUUCCUUCGUUGAUCUUUUCUUCCCCAAAAUAUUGUAGUAAACGAUUUUCUUAUAACACACACAAACCUGGAUUUGUUUUGUUAUUAAUGGAGCUAUGGCCUGCCAACUUUAACUUCUAUUGUAGGAUCAUGGGAAAUCUGGAUUUGUUUUAUUGUUAUUAAUGGAGUUAUUGUCUGUCAUCUUUUACUUCUAUUGUAGGAUCAAGGGAAAUCUGGAUUUGUUUUAUUGUUAUUAAUGGAUCUAUUGUCUGUCAUCUAUAACUUCUACUGUAGGAUUCUGGGAAAUGUAUGAUCCCGAGGGAUACUCCCUGUGGUUCUGUGACUACAAGUACAAUGAUGAGAAUACCGUGUCAUUUGUCACUCUGAACAAGGUCGGUGGAUUUCUUCAAAGGAUGGAUCUGGCUCGCAAGUAUGCAUUUGGGAAGAUGCUUGUAAUCGGCUCAGAGCCUCCAUUCAAGGUCAAGGGGCUGUGGCUUUUCCGGGGGCAAGAAAUUCCUCAGUUUGUCAUUGAUGAGUGCUAUGAUAUGGAGCUGUAUGAAUGGACCAAGGUUGACAUCUCAGACGAAGCUCAAAAGGAGCGCGUCAGUCAGAUGAUCGAAGAUUACGAGCCUUUUGAGGGGGAUGCCCUUUUGGAUGCCAAGUGCUUCAAGUGAAACAAUUGUAAUCAGUCAAGGCCAUGUUUGUGGCCGCAACCCUUUUUUGGUAGUGAGUUUGUCUCUUGUUUCAGACAUCCUGAAGUCUAGACAUUUAAUGAUUUGGACAAUAUAGUG